GCCCUGAUGGUCUAGCGGUAUGAUUCUCCCUUAGGGUCUACAAGUCACGUCUGGGAGAGGUCCCAGGUUCGAAUCCUGGUUAGGGCC
rnacentral:tRNA from 1 species